AUUGAACGCUGGCGGCAGGCCUAACACAUGCAAGUCGAGCGAGCGGCGGACGGGUUAGUAAUGUAUGGGGACUGCCCGAUAGAGGGGGCUAACUAAUGGAAACGGUGGCUAAUACCGCAUAAUGACGGAUAACCCAUAUGGGAUUAGCUAGUAGGUAAGGUAAUGGCUUACCUAGGCGCCGAUCACUAGCUGGUCUGAGAGGAUGAUAAGAGACACUGGGACUGAGAAACGGCCCAGAAUCCUACGGAGGGAGCAGUGGGGAAUAUUGCACAAUGGGCGCAAGCCUGAUGCAUGCAUGCCGCGUGUAUGAAGAAGGCCCUAGGGUUGUAAAGUACUGUCAGUCGGGAGGCGUUACCGACAGAAGAAGUACCGGCUAACUCCGUGCCAGCAGCCGCGGUAAUUC
rnacentral:rRNA from 1 species